GCUAUGGAGUAUGAUACCAAACGUUAGUAGCCCGAAUGUAAACGAGGGCGAGAACGCAUACGAGGAAAUAGCAA
rnacentral:ncRNA from 1 species